AGCAGAGAGGGCGAUCUGGCUGCUACAUCUGUCACCCCAUUGAUCGCCGGGUUGAUUUGGCUGAUCUGGCUGGCUAGGCGGGUGUCCCCUUCCUCCCUCACCGCUCCAUGUGCGUCCCUCCCGAAACUGCGCGCUCAGUUGAAGAGGACGACCUUCCCCGAUAGAAGGAAGACCAUCCUUCGGUCAAGGGUAUACGAGUAGCUGCGCUCCCCUGCUGGAACCUCCGAACAAGCAGAGAGAUGUGGAUUCUGUUGGAAGGAAACACAAGUUGUCAAGUUAGU
rnacentral:snRNA from 1 species